rnacentral:rRNA from 1 species
UCAGGAUGAACGCUGGCGGCGUGCUUAACACAUGCAAGUCGAACGAAGCUCUCUGAACUGAGAUUCGGUCAAGGUGAUGAGAUGACUUAGUGGCGGACGGGUGAGUAACGCGUGGGUAACCUGCCGUAUGCAGGGGGACAACAGUUGGAAACGACUGCUAAUACCGCAUAAGCGCACAGGACCGCAUGGUCUGGUGUGAAAAAGAUUUAUCGGCAUACGAUGGACCCGCGUCUGAUUAGCUAGUUGGUGAGGUAACGGCCCACCAAGGCGACGAUCAGUAGCCGGCCUGAGAGGGUGAACGGCCACAUUGGGACUGAGACACGGCCCGAACUCCUACGGGAGGCAGCAGUGGGGAAUAUUGCACAAUGGGGGAAACCCUGAUGCAGCCGACGCCGCGUGAGUGAAGAAGUAUCUCGGUAUGUAAAGCUCUAUCAGCAGGGAAGAAAAUGACGGUACCUGACUAAGAAGCCCCGGCUAACUACGUGCCAGCAGCUGC